AUUGAACGCUGGCGGCAGGCCUAACACAUGCAAGUCGAGCGGUAACAGAGAGUAGCUUGCUACUCUGCUGACGAGCGGCGGACGGGUGAGUAAUGCUUGGGAAUAUGCCUUAUGGUGGGGGACAACAGUUGGAAACGACUGCUAAUACCGCAUGAUGUCUACGGACCAAAGUGGGGGACCUUCGGGCCUCACGCCAUAAGAUUAGCCCAAGUGGGAUUAGCUAGUUGGUGAGGUAAUGGCUCACCAAGGCGACGAUCCCUAGCUGGUUUGAGAGGAUGAUCAGCCACACUGGGACUGAGACACGGCCCAGACUCCUACGGGAGGCAGCAGUGGGGAAUAUUGCACAAUGGGCGCAAGCCUGAUGCAGCCAUGCCGCGUGUGUGAAGAAGGCCUUCGGGUUGUAAAGCACUUUCAGUAAGGAGGAAAGGUUAAGUGUUAAUAGCACUUAGCUGUGACGUUACUUACAGAAGAAGCACCGGCUAACUCCGUGCCAGCAGCCGCGGUAAUACGGAGGGUGCGAGCGUUAAUCGGAAUUACUGGGCGUAAAGCGUACGCAGGCGGUUUGUUAAGCGAGAUGUGAAAGCCCCGGGCUCAACCUGGGAACUGCAUUUCGAACUGGCAAACUAGAGUGUGAUAGAGGGUGGUAGAAUUUCAGGUGUAGCGGUGAAAUGCGUAGAGAUCUGAAGGAAUACCGAUGGCGAAGGCAGCCACCUGGGUCAACACUGACGCUCAUGUACGAAAGCGUGGGGAGCAAACAGG
rnacentral:rRNA from 1 species